CUUUACCUUUUCAUCCUUUUUCCUAUUCAAAAUUAUUCAUUAAUUUUGUUUCCUUUAUCCCGUGAAACUUGUUUGGAUGAACUUUUCAGUAAACAUUUCUAGAAAAAGCAAAAUAAGAAGGAAAAGUGAAAACCUUAUCCAUAAGUUAAUUUAUAAUGGCUCUUUCAUAUUAACUUCUCCAAAAUCAGAGUUUUAACUUACGCAUAAGAUAGUUUGAACUACCGCAACUUAUUUCUUUUUGUUCUUUUUAUUCUUUUUAUUUUCCUCUUCUGUAAGUGGUUACAGAGAUCUACUUAAGCAGGCCCAUAGUCAUAAAUGCACGAAGAGUAGUGUAGUUGGCAUCCUCAAAUUGAUAUUUUAAAUUUAUGUGUGGUUGGUGUCUUGUGGUUGAGAGAUGCCACAUGAUGUAUCGUGACAAUGUGCAUUCUAAUUUGUGUUUGUUUCUCCCAAUAAAGCAUUCUUUAUUUGCUUGCCCUACUCAGUUCUGCUGUUUAUGGAAAAUGGAUUUUUGUGUUUUGUGAUUUGCAUCUCAAGCAGCCAUGCAGUGGUUGAUUCGAUGAUGCUUUGCUAGUGUGAACUUGGUGACACAUUAUACCCUUUGCAACCCUUCUUGCUUGUGUAAGAUAUGAUGUUUAUCACUUGUUUAUUCAUCAUUCCAUUCACUUUCAACUGUGAAUUUCUAAAUGAUUAUCUGGCUAUAUCCAUCAGAGCUUUGAACAUUUGGGAGUUUGAUUGUAGCUAAAAGAAGCAUGGAAGGCACUAAGGGUGAUGAAGGAUCCAUUACCGUAGGAACCACUGGAACAAUCAGCUUAUUGAUGACAAAGGAAUUGGAUCAGAUGUCUGGUGUUCCACAGCAGGAUUUAUCUUCAACAAGUAAACCUCGAAUUUCAGUUUCAAGUGGUAGUGCUACGCCGAAACGACCACAACCAAGAAAAUCAUUUGAAGCCAGUAGUAGUAGUAGUACUAGUAGUAAUGUUACAAACCAUAUAAGCUCAGGGAUUGGCCCCAAAACAAAACAUAAUGGCAAACAUACCCAUCAACUACCCAUGCUUGGUUCCCACACCCUUCCAUUGGAGGCAAGUCCAGUUAUGAAGAAAAAGGAUAAGAAGAAAAAAUCUAAAUUUGUGGAAGUUGUGGACAUCAAGUGUGGUUAUGCAGAUAAAGCUUGGGCCACACCUAUCACAAAUUCUCUCAAGAAGUUGGGUUUCUCAAAGCUCUCUGAGAGCAUUACCUAAAGCUGGAAUUGUAUGUCAGACUUCAGGUUCUUGUAGCUGAAAGCAGAAAUUACAUUUGGCUUACUACUGUCUAUUAUAUCGACCAUAGAACACAUGCUUGGCAAGAGCUUGCUACUUCCUCGCUUUUUCUUUCUUGUUUCUACUCUGGAUACAGUUGAGGGUCUGGAAUCAGUGCUAACUGAGGAACCCAUGUUGAUGGUUUGAGAUUUGUUGUUCUGUGACCAGCCAUUGGAAUUUAGUUCAAGCCGGCUAAAGUACUCAAUUUCUUGCAUUAGAAGGGACCCAACUGUGCCUCUGGUGCCUAUUUCUACAGGUGGAAAUUCAGCCAUUUCUUUUGUGUUGCUUGUGGCAAGGAUGGUGGGUGUCUGUAUGCUUUAUAUUGUUGGUGUCAAGGAGAAAGAAAAAGUGGGAUUGAAGAAGAGUGGUUUUGUUGUAUGUUUGAUGAACUUUUCCACAAGCUGAGGCAUUUUCUUUAGUUUCACAGAAGCUCUCCACUCUACCAUGUACUAUUUAUAUGAAGUGCAUGACAUGUAUUAUGUUUAUGGUUGUAGAGUUAGUUGGUGACAUGACAUUGUCAUUCCAUUCAUGUGCAUGCAGUAAAAAGUAUUAUCCUUGUAACUUUAUGUUUAAUCAUGUCUAGCUACAUCCCAAUAAUAAGUUCAUUAUUUGAGACUAUGGUCAGUGUAAUUUGGAGCAGAUGAAUUCAUGUGAAAGAAGAAAUUGGACCAUCA